rnacentral:tRNA from 1 species
GGAUUGUGGCUCAGUGGUAGAGUGCUCGCCUAGCACGGGGGGACCCAGGUUCGAUCCUCAGCACCA